AGCCCAGAUUCAAGGGGGCGGGAGAUAGAAUUCACCUUUUAGAGAAACUGCAAAGUGACAUGGCAAAGGGCAUGAGUUCACACAGGGGUGGAGAAUUGGGACCAUUAAUACCAUGGUAGGAAUGACCAGAGCAUGCUUGAAAGUAGAAAGGAAGGGAUAUGUAGGAUAAAGAAGAAAGUGAAGUAAGGAGGAAAGAUCAAUACCAUAGGUCAGAGAAUUAACCUUUGAAAAAAGGAAGGGUACUUCUGGGAAUGGAAAGAGGGGAAUUCGGUUGAAUUAGAUUUAACAAAUUAAAAUACAGGAUGCCCAGUAAAAUUUUAACUUCAGGUAAACAAUGAAUAACUUCUGAGUAUUAAGUAUGUUCUAUGCAAUAUUUGGUAGGCUCUCGGUACACAGUUUGCUAUUUUUAUUAGUUUAAAUACCAUUUAAAUAUUUCUAUAAUGCAGUACUUGGGACACAUUUAUCCUAAAAUAUGUUUCCUUAUUUAUUUGAAAUUCAAAUAUCACCAGGCAACCUGUAUUUUGACAACCCUACUUUGGAUGAAUUUUAAAUAAAGCCAUGGUGAACAUGCUUUGGGAUUUUCAUAGUUUGAGUGAUUCCUCUGGGCUCUACCACCCAGCAAGUUAAAGAGGACAAGAUUCCUUCCUGGGGAUUGUGGUUCUGGGAACGUGAGCAGCUUGUUUUCAUGAGAGCUGCACCCUGACGGGGCCUACCAUUAGGAGCUGUUGUGUGGGUGGCUGUGUUGUUUUUAGUUGUUUCUUCCAUCCUACACUGUUGUUUGUAUAUAAAGAUUUUUGAAGAGUGAAUGUUUUACGGGGCUGUUUUGCUUAUACAAAGAAAAUUAAAACAAUUUCAAAGUAA